rfam:Trichosporon asahii var. asahii CBS 8904 unplaced genomic scaffold scaffold00066, whole genome shotgun sequence.
GGAUCGAUACCCAAGUCCGGUUUAAGGGGCUCGACUCAAGUCGAUAGACUUUGUCCGACAGGAUUUUCGAGUGCGUAAGCAUCGUGGGUUCGAAUCCCACUCGAUUCA